GAUGAACGCUAGCUACAGGCUUAACACAUGCAAGUCGAGGGGAAACGAUAUUGGAAGCUUGCUUCCGAUAGGCGUCGACCGGCGCACGGGUGAGUAACGCGUAUCCAACCUGCCCAUCACUUGGGAAUAACCUUGCGAAAGUAAGACUAAUACCCAAUGAUAUCUCUAGAAGACAUCUGAAGGAGAUUAAAGAUUUAUCGGUGAUGGCUGGGGAUGCGUCUGAUUAGCUUGUUGGCGGGGUAACGGCCCACCAAGGCGACGACCAGUAGGGGUUCUGAGAGGAAGGUCCCCCACAUUGGAAAUGAGACACGGUCCAAACUCCUACGGGAGGCAGCAGUGAGGAAUAUUGGUCAAUGGGCGAGAGCCUGAACCAGCCAAGUAGCGUGCAGGAUGACGGCCCUAUGGGUUGUAAACUGCUUUUAUAAGGGAAUAAAGUGAGCCUCGUGAGGCUUUUUGCAUGUACCUUAUGAAUAAGGACCGGCUAAUUCCGUGCCAGCCGCCGCAGUAAAAC
rnacentral:rRNA from 1 species